GUGUUUAUUUCUCAGAGAGAGAGAGAGAGAGAGAGAGAGAGAGAGAGAGAGAGAGAGAGAGAGAGAGAGAGAGAGAGAGAGAGAGAGAGUUUACUUAUCAGUCCCUUAAGUUAGUGGAGGUUAACAAAGGGUCAUAAAGAGGCCGAGGAAAGUCAUAUAGGCUGAAGCGGCGUGCUUACGAGUUAUAAAUGGUAUGCUGCGUCAAUAAAAAGACACGUUCAUACACACACACACGAGAUAACAGGUGACCCAUAACCUAACCUAACCUAACUUUAUGAUACUUGUGGACUAAUUAACUUACCACGCACCCAUCUAACCUUCACGACCCGCGUCACCCCUCCACCGCACAUUUCCCGUCCUACACAUCCCCUCCCCCCACACCUCCCUAACCACUCUCGCUCCCUCUUAUUUCGCAAUGACAAAAGUUCAACAUUCCAUUUCUUCUUUUUUUUUUUUUUUACUAACCACGUGUAAUGAAUAAUUUGUUCACGUGAUCUCAUUAUGAAACCAUCUUCUCUUUGUCGCAAGUUCCUGUCUCGUUGUCUUUUUUUUUUUUUUUUUAUACCAUGUGGGCUUUUCACGGGAAUUUUUGGGCUAAAAGAGAUACUGUUUAGGGUACCUCCUAUCUCAAAGCCCACCCGCUAGGAAACCGUUGCCCCGUGUGAGGAAGCCCAACCUACACUUGGACCGUGGACAGGAUUCGGACCCGUGCGCUUGGAGACCCCUCUGAUCCCAAAGCGCGCAUGGUUCCACUGUACCACGGCGAUUGUAAGAUAGUGUGUAAAUACGUGCGUCUGUUUGUGUGUAGGUCUAUGUCAGGAAACUGUCUUCUUCGUGAUUGUGUACGUAUGCGUGUACGUCACUGUAUGUUUGCUAAUUACGCAGGUGCUGUAUUUGUUUAGUUUUGUGCAAGCACUGUUAUCGAACACACACACACACACACACACACACAGCGAGUGAAAAUCAGUAACGAGGUGCUUGAAAAAAUAUGAAUUAAUAUGUCAAAGCAAGAUGUGUAAGUUAUUCAUAAUUCAUUGUUAUAUUUUGUUUGUUACUACCACUACCGCUACCACUACUACUUCUACUACAACUCUUACUACUACUACUACUACUACUACAACAACAACGACUACCAUUACUACCACUACUACUGCUACUGUUACAACUACUAUUACUACAGCACUUCCUCUCCUAAUUAUUCUACUGCUGCUAUUACUACUACUACCAUCACCAUCACUACCAUUAUCACCACCACUACCACUACUACUACUACUACUACUACUACUACUACUACAACAACCACUACUAUCAGCCAUAAACCACUCACUCGCCAGGUUGUGACAAUAAUUAAUCAUUCAUCUGAGUUACGUACAAGUACAAGAGUUAAGUGUGAACGAGUGUACAUACGUUGUGUUAGUUAUGAUUGUUAUAAUGACGAGUAUACCUAUUAUAUUAUGAUUCAUUAUUAAAGUGUUGAUUUGUA